CAAGAAUGUUCAAACCGUGAUUCAAGGCUGCUGGAAGUCAAUACAAGGGAUGAAGCGAACUUUGUAUCGCACAGAGUUUUGUAUCUACAGCGUGCAUUCUGGAUUGGAAAAUGCGAACUUAGGAAUGUGAGCUUGGGCCUCCUGCUCAAAGUGUC